GAGACGAGGAAGGGCGUCAUAAGCGACGAAAUGCUUCGGGGAUUUGAAAAUAAGCAUAGAUCUGGAGAUUCCCAAAUAGGUUAACCUUUCAAACUGCUACCGAAUCCAUGGGCAAGCAAGAGACAACCUGGCGAACUGAAACAUCUUAGUAGCUAGAGGAAAAGAAAGCAAAAGCGAGUUGCAAGGGUUAAGGGUUUGGCGGAGUGAUGACCGCGCAAUUUUGGCUUGAAGCCUUC
rnacentral:lncRNA from 1 species